rnacentral:RNase_P_RNA from 1 species
CGGGCCGGCCAGACGGUCGCGUCGCGUGUCCUCCGCCCUCGUGACGGAGGGCGCGCGCCGAGGAACGUCCGGGCUCCGCAGAGCAGGGUGGUGGGUAACACCCACCCGGAGUGAUCCGCGAGAAAGUGCAACAGAGAGCAGACCGCCGCACCGCGCACGUCGCGGGGCGGUAAGGGUGAAACGGUGGUGUAAGAGACCACCAGGGGCCCNGUGCCGAUGAGGUUGCUCGCCGAGGCACCGGGUAGACCGCUGGAGGGCUGCGGCGACGCAGUCCCGAGAGAGAUGGCCGUCCGGUCGGAUCGUGCCGCGAGGCACGGACGACCGACAGAACCCGGCGUAUCGGCCGACCCGUUCG